UAACAGCACUGGUCCUUGUAGACUCCUUGA
rnacentral:piRNA from 1 species